rnacentral:lncRNA from 1 species
GGGUUCAGGUACACAUUUGGGUAGGGAGGGGAACUGAGGUGAGGUAUUUACUGCGCGCAGCAGCGAUACGUUUGAUUCGGUUAUUUUUUUGGCGAAGCGUCUUGCGGUCUCGUUGCAGCGCGUGACGUCUCACGCUGCUGUGAAACGCUACAGGUGUGUCUGGCCGGCAAACGGAAGUGGCCGCUCGCGAGAUGCUCGACAUCUAGCAGUAACGCACGCGCUGGGCGGUACGGCUGGUGUGACCCAGAGCGAACAGUUACGGCAGCGCCCAUCCUUGGCUCUGUGCCCAAUGCCAGCGGACUUUGCAGGAACCACGGCAACACUCCCCUGCACCCUGUGAGUAUUAAGACCCCUCAAACCACCAGUUUGGUACUUCUGUGGAGCGUCUGUAAACCAUUGGUAAACCCCCCGGAAGAAAACGCAGGAAUAAAUACGAAUCGAGGGAAUUUGGUUGCUCUUUGGUUGGUUGGCAAGCAUAGGGCAAAAAAAGGGGAUUGGAGGGGUGGGCGAGAAGCAUUCCCACGGCAGCCAGCCCCCCCCUUCGCGGAGUUGCAGGCGGGCUCGAGUGGUGGGUACCUCCUCCCCUCUGCGUCUGCGGCCGUUGCUGAGCUUCUGUUCUCGUACCUCCUGUGCCCUCUCCAUCAAGUUUGGCCGCAUCUGUUGUCUGUGUGGCAUCUCCCCCGCUUGUCUUUCAUACUGGUGGGUGCUGUAAGGAUCCCAGAGCCUCAGCCAUCCAUUCAUCUCCCUGGUGAUUGUUCUCAAUGUCGAUAAAUUGUACAGACUGUUGCCUGCCUGCCUGCCUACCUCUUCAGCUGUGCUUUCCUUGUUGCUGAAGGAGAGUUUCAUGCUCACAUGUUUUUUUUCCCCUCUUUUUUUCUUUUUUGUUUUUUGAGGAAGUUGAUCUUGUAAUUCUAGAAGUGUCCACUUCGGCAAGCGUGAUAAGGAAUUCUGUGUACAUCUGAACAAAAUAAAAACAUUUUUUUUUUUUUUUUUCUUUGUAAG